rnacentral:rRNA from 1 species
AACGAACGCUGGCGGCAGGCCUAACACAUGCAAGUCGAACGGUCUCUUCGGAGAUAGUGGCGAACGGGUGAGUAACACGUGGGAACAUGCCCUUGGGUACGGAACAACAGCUGGAAACGGCUGCUAAUACCGUAUGAUGACUUCGGUCCAAAGAUUUAUCGCCCAAGGAUUGGCCCGCGUUGGAUUAGAUAGUUGGUGGGGUAACGGCCUACCAAGUCUGCGAUCCAUAGCUGGUCUUAGAGGAUGAUCAGCCACACUGGGACUGAGACACGGCCCAGACUCCUACGGGAGGCAGCAGUGGGGAAUCUUAGACAAUGGGCGCAAGCCUGAUCUAGCCAUGCCGCGUGAUCGAUGACGGCCUUAGGGUUGUAAAGAUCUUUCGCCGGGGACGAUAAUGACGGUACCCGGAGAAGAAGCUCCGGCUAACUUCG